UAAAGUCAAUAAGCAUAUCCUCAGGUAGGGAAUAAAAAAAAAAUCUAGCUUCACCUGAACCAAGUUAACUUCUCUAUGCACUACCACUUGGCUAUAUCAUCUCUUGAUUGUGCUAGUGUUAGCUCCUCUUUAGUGGUAGAUUGCCACCCCUCCCACCAAUUCUCCACAGGACAACCAUAAUGAGAUCACUGCUGAAACUUCACUUCCUUAACCCCCGCAGACCAGUUCAGUUACUGUGCUUAUAACUCUCUCUUUUCUUUAAACCCUUAUUACAAGUGCAAUGGGCCAAAGUGCUAUGUAAAGCAAUAUAUGAAAAAAACAAACAAAACAAACCCCCACUGCA